AAUGAAAUUCCUAUGGGUGUAUGGUAAAGCUCCAUGAAAAUUUUAUAUAGAUCCUGUUUUGAUGUAAGCUCAUUUAGCAUCUUCUCGAGUUGCCUAAUUGACAUGAGGUAGGCUUACUUAUCCUCUAGGGAGGAUAGUAUCUAGUGGUGCAUGAUUUUUCUAUCCAUUGGCGAUAAGGGAACCAUAAGCGAGGAUUUAAAUGCAAGGAGCUUUUGUUUGGAGCUCCAAGGCAUUGGUUUCUGAGAUCAAAGCUUCACAAAAAGAAGUUGAGCAGAUGCUACGAGAACAUAGAUCAACUUCUAUGCAAGGUAAACUGUUGAAGCACAAUCUUGAUUCGCAAGUUGUCGAUGCUCUCAAGGAUCUCAGAGAUAAGCUAUCUGAAAAUGCAUUACAUAGCUGAAAGAAAAACUUGGGACGAGUUGGGAAAUACUAACGAUGGUUCCGUUGCUCUCUAUUUUUGAAUUGAUUGGCACGGAUAGUUAUGCUAGAUUAUGUAUUUCUCUGUACAGGAAUAAUGCACUAUAAUUCAUUUUCCCUUUGUUAAAAUCAACAGUUCGUAAAACAAGAAAUUAAGCUUUAUUUUA